rnacentral:rRNA from 1 species
ACACAUGCAGUCGAGCGGAUGAAGGAGCUUGCUCCUGGAUUCAGCGGCGGACGGGUGGGUAAUGCCUAGGAAUCUGCCUGGUAGUGGGGGACAACGUUUCGAAAGGAACGCUAAUACCGCAUACGUCCUACGGGAGAAAGCAGGGGACCUUCGGGCCUUGCGCUAUCAGAUGAGCCUAGGUCGGAUUAGCUAGUUGGUGAGGUAAUGGCUCACCAAGGCGACGAUCCGUAACUGGUCUGAGAGGAUGAUCAGUCACACUGGAACUGAGACACGGUCCAGACUCCUACGGGAGGCAGCAGUGGGGAAUAUUGGACAAUGGGCGAAAGCCUGAUCCAGCCAUGCCGCGUGUGUGAAGAAGGUCUUCGGAUUGUAAAGCACUUUAAGUUGGGAGGAAGGGUUGUAGAUUAAUACUCUGCAAUUUUGACGUUACCGACAGAAUAAGCACCGGCUAACUCUGUGCCAGCAGCCGCGGUAAUACAGAGGGUGCAAGCGUUAAUCGGAAUUACUGGGCGUAAAGCGCGCGUAGGUGGUUUGUUAAGUUGGAUGUGAAAUCCCCGGGCUCAACCUGGGAACUGCAUCCAAAACUGGCAAGCUAGAGUAUGGUAGAGGGCGGUGGAAUUUCCUGUGUAGCGGUGAAAUGCGUAGAUAUAGGAAGGAACACCAGUGGCGAAAGCGACCACCUGGACUGAUACUGACACUGAGGUGCGAAAGCGUGGGGAGCAAACAGGA